GGUAAGGGGAUCCGAACUCGUGGCCUUGGUGUUGUCAGCACCACACUCUCCAGAGUGAGACAAGGGCCGACCCUAAAGCUGCAGUUCCGAACAUCUCCAGAGGGGGCGCCCUUGCACGAUCGGCGAAUACGCGGAAUGGCUGAGGCUGUAACAAGCACCUUCCUGGCACGUUCGGGAAGACAACUUCUCUAUCUCUCAAAAUGAAACUUCCAGGCCCUGUGAGCCUGCCGUGCCGCUGGUAGAUAUUUACCCGAGACACAGUCAGAAGGCAGCCAUCUGCAAGCCAGGAAGAGAGCCC